rnacentral:misc_RNA from 1 species
GAUGAAGAACGCAGUGAAAUGCGAUAAGUAAUGUGAAUUGCAGAAUUCAGUGAAUCAUCGAAUCUUUGAACGCACCUUGCGCCCUUUGGCUAUUCUGAAGGGCAUGCCUGUUUGAGUAUCAUGAACACCUCAACUCUCAUGGUUCGCCAUGAUGAGCUUGGACUUUGGGGGUCUUGCUGGCCUACGGUCGGCUCCUCUCAAAUGAAUCAGCUUGCCAGUGUUUGGUAGAGUCGCAGGUGUGAUAACUAUCUACGCUUGUGGUUUUCUGCCAGAUAACCUUCAGUGAUGGAGGUUCGCUGGAGCUUAUAAAUGUCUCUCCCCAGUGAGGACAGCUUUUUGAACGUUUGAUCUCAAAUCAGGUAGGACUACCCGCUGAACUUAAGCAUAUCAAUAAGCGGAGGA